UACGUAGGAGGCGAGCGUUGUCCGGAGUUACUGGGCGUAAAGGGUGCGCAGGCGGCGGUUCGCGUGGCGAGAUGAAAUCUCCUGGCUUACCUGGGAGGGUGGUCGCCAGACGGGAUCGCUUGAGGGUCGGAGAGGGGCGUGGAAUUCCGGGUGGAGCGGUGAAAUGCGUAGAGAUCCGGAGGAACACCGACGGCGUAGGCAGCGCCCUGGACGACACCUGACGCUGAGGCACGAAAGCGUGGGGAGCGAACAGG
rnacentral:rRNA from 1 species